rnacentral:rRNA from 1 species
AUUGAACGCUGGCGGCAGGCCUAACACAUGCAAGUCGAGCGGAGCGGCGGACGGGUGAGUAAUGCCUAGGAAUCUGCCUGGUAGUGAGGGAUAACGUCCGGAAACGGGCGCUAAUACCGCAUACUAUCAGAUGAGCCUAGGUCGGAUUAGCUAGUUGGUGGGGUAACGGCGUACCAAGGCGACGAUCCGUCACUGGUCUGCGAGGAUGAUCAGUCACACUGGAACUGAGACACGGUCCAGACGCCUACGGUAGGCAGCAGUGGGGAAUGUUGGGCAAGGGGCGAAAGCCUGAACCAGCCAAGCCGCGUGUGUGAAGAAGGUCUUCGGAUUGUAAAGCACUUUAAGUUGUGAAGCGUUACCAACAGAAUAAGCACCGGCUAACUUCGUGCCAGCAGCCGCGGUAAUAC